UACAGAGGGUGCGAGCGUUAAUCGGAAUUACUGGGCGUAAAGCGUGCGUAGGCGGUUUCUUAAGUCCGUUGUGAAAGCCCUGGGCUCAACCUGGGAACUGCAGUGGAUACUGAGAAGCUAGAGUGUGUCAGAGGAUGGUGGAAUUCCCGGUGUAGCGGUGAAAUGCGUAGAGAUCGGGAGGAACAUCAGUGGCGAAGGCGGCCAUCUGGGACAACACUGACGCUGAGGCACGAAAGCGUGGGGAGCAAACAGG
rnacentral:rRNA from 1 species